UAGAGUUUUAUAACUCCCAACCCUUUGUGAACUUACCUUUGUUGCCUCGGCGGGGCCUACCCGGUACCCAACCCUUUUGGGCGGGGUUGCCCUGUAGCCCGCCGGUGGACAUUCAAACUCUUGUUAUUUUAAUGUUAUCUGAGCGUCUUAUUUUAAUAAGUCA
rnacentral:misc_RNA from 1 species